rnacentral:rRNA from 1 species
AGAGUUUGAUCAUGGCUCAGAUUGAACGCUGGCGGCAUGCUUUACACAUGCAAGUCGAACGGCAGCGGGGGCUUCGGCCUGCCGGCGAGUGGCGAACGGGUGAGUAAUGCAUCGGAACGUGUCCUUAAGUGGGGAAUAACGCAUCGAAAGAUGUGCUAAUACCGCAUAUCUCUGAGGAGAAAAGCAGGGGAUCGUAAGACCUUGCGCUAAAGGAGCGGCCGAUGUCUGAUUAGCUAGCUGGUGGGGUAAAGGCUUACCAAGGCAACGAUCAGUAGUUGGUCUGAGAGGACGGCCAACCACACUGGGACUGAGACACGGCCCAGACUCCUACGGGAGGCAGCAGUGGGGAAUUUUGGACAAUGGGCGAAAGCCUGAUCCAGCCAUGCCGCGUGAGUGAAGAAGGCCUUCGGGUUGUAAAGCUCUUUUAGUCGGAAAGAAAGGAUUGCAACGAAUAAUUGUGAUUUAUGACGGUACCGACAGAAAAAGCACCGGCUAACUACGUGCCAGCAGCCGCGGUAAUACGUAGGGUGCGAGCGUUAAUCGGAAUUACUGGGCGUAAAGGGUGCGCAGGCGGUUUUGCAAGUCAGAUGUGAAAGCCCCGGGCUUAACCUGGGAAUUGCGUUUGAAACUACAAAGCUAGAGUGCAGCAGAGGGGAGUGGAAUUCCAUGUGUAGCAGUGAAAUGCGUAGAGAUGUGGAAGAACACCGAUAGCGAAGGCAGCUCCCUGGGUUGACACUGACGCUCAUGCACGAAAGCGUGGGGAGCAAACAGGAUUAGAUACCUUGGUAGUCCACGCCCUAAACGAUGUCAACUGGUUGUCGGAUCUAAUUAAGGAUUUGGUAACGUAGCUAACGCGUGAAGUUGCCGCCUGGGGAGUACGGUCGCAAGAUUAAAACUCAAAGGAAUUGACGGGGACCCGCACAAGCGGUGGAUUAUGUGGAUUAAUUCGAUGCAACGCGAAAAACCUUACCUACCCUUGACAUGCUUGGAAUCUAAUGGAGACAUAAGAGUGCCCGAAAGGGAGCCAAGACACAGGUGCUGCAUGGCUGUCGUCAGCUCGUGUCGUGAGAUGUUGGGUUAAGUCCCGCAACGAGCGCAACCCUUGUCACUAAUUGCUAUCAUUUUUAAUGAGCACUUUAGUGAGACUGCCGGUGACAAACCGGAGGAAGGUGGGGAUGACGUCAAGUCCUCAUGGCCCUUAUGGGUAGGGCUUCACACGUAAUACAAUGGCGUGUACAGAGGGUUGCCAACCCGCGAGGGGGAGCCAAUCUCAGAAAGCACGUCGUAGUCCGGAUCGGAGUCUGCAACUCGACUCCGUGAAGUCGGAAUCGCUAGUAAUCGCGGAUCAGCAUGUCGCGGUGAAUACGUUCCCGGGUCUUGUACACACCGCCCGUCACACCAUGGGAGUGGUUUUCACCAGAAGCAGGUAGCUUAACCGCAAGGAGGGCGCUUGCCACGGUGGGGGUCAUGACUGGGGUGAAGUCGUAACAAGGUAGCCGUA